AUUGAACGCUGGCGGCAUGCCUUACACAUGCAAGUCGAACGGCAGCACGGGUGCUUGCACCUGGUGGCGAGUGGCGAACGGGUGAGUAAUACAUCGGAACAUGUCCUGUAGUGGGGGAUAGCCCGGCGAAAGCCGGAUUAAUACCGCAUACGAUCUACGGAUGAAAGCGGGGGACCUUCGGACCUCGCGCUGUAGGGGUGGCCGAGGGCUGAUUUGCUGGUUGGUGGGGUAAAGGCCUACCAAGGCGACGAUCAGUAGCUGGGCUGAGAGGACGACCAGCCACACUGGGACUGAGACACGGCCCAGACUCCUACGGGAGGCAGCAGUGGGGAAUUUUGGACAAUGGGCGAAAGCCUGAUCCAGCAAUGCCGCGUGUGUGAAGAAGGCCUUCGGGUUGUAAAGCACUUUUGUCCGGAAAGAAAUCCUUGGCCCUAAUACGGUCGGGGGAUGACGGUACCGGAAGAAUAAGCACCGGCUAACUACGUG
rnacentral:rRNA from 1 species